rnacentral:misc_RNA from 1 species
AAACUUUGUUGGAAUACUUUGGCCACUGUGCACAAGGGCCUGCUACAGCUACGAAAUAAAGAAGAGAGUAGUAACGAUGAAUGCGUGAAAUAUCGGCCCCUUUGCCAAGCUAUAGUGAAAGAGGAUUUGGCUGCCGUUGAAAGCUUCCUUCACCAUCAUCCAGAGGCAAUAAACAGAAAGAUUACACAUUUCGAAGGCUGCACGGCCCUUCAUCUUGCAACUAUAACCGGGAACAUAAAGCUUGUGGAGAAGCUAGUGGAG